AGGACGACGCUGGCGGCGCGCCUAACACAUGCAAGUCGAACGAGAGAUGAGGAGCUUGCUCUUCAGAUCGAGUGGCGAACGGGUGAGUAACGCGUGAGGAACCUGCCUCAAAGAGGGGGACAACAGUUGGAAACGACUGCUAAUACCGCAUAAGCCCACGGCUCGGCAUCGAGCAGAGGGAAAAGGAGCAAUCCGCUUUGAGAUGGCCUCGCGUCCGAUUAGCUAGUUGGUGAGGUAACGGCCCACCAAGGCGACGAUCGGUAGCCGGACUGAGAGGUUGAACGGCCACAUUGGGACUGAGACACGGCCCAGACUCCUACGGGAGGCAGCAGGUGGGGAAUAUUGCACAAUGGGGGAAACCCUGAUGCAGCGACGCCGCGUGGAGGAAGAAGGUCUUCGGAUUGUAAACUCCUGUUGUUGAGGAAGAUAAUGACGGUACUCAACAAGGAAGUGACGGCUAACUACGUG
rnacentral:rRNA from 1 species